rnacentral:sRNA from 1 species
AGUCUGGUACUGGAGGAGUUCAGAGAAAGAAGGAAUCUCUGGACAUCUGCAGUGCUUCGCUGAGGAGACAAGCCUUGUAUAGGAGAGUUGGCUCAAGCACGGACAUCAGUGAGGACUGGGAGAAAGACUUUGACUUGGACAUGACUGAAGAGGAGGUGCAGAUGGCACUUUCCAAAGUGGAUGCCUCCGGGGAGGUGAGUGGGCCUGGUGGGUCAGAAGGAAGCGAGCCUAAUGGUCCUGGGUGUGAGAGCUCUCCCCAGCCAGCCCAGCUGUCCCCUCAGGAGGGUCCCUGCUCCUGUCUGAGGUGACAGGUUGUGGGAAAGGAGCUGGAGCUUCCUGCUCAGACCCACAACAGUGGUCAUCAGCAGGCUGCACUUUCCCUCAGUUCCAGGGUGGGUAGAGGGGAGAGUUCUUGACCUUAGCUCUGUAUCAAAAUUGCCUGAGAAACUGCUUAAGAAAACAGAUACGCUGAGCGCGGUGGCUCACACCUGUAAUCCCAACACUUUGGGAGGCCGAGGUGGGAGGAUUGCUGGAGGCGAGGAGUUCAAGACCAGCCUGGCCAAUAUAGUGAGACCCCAUUUCUAUUUUUGAAAAAAAAAAAGAAAGAAA